UCACCCCUCAAGCCCCGCGCUUGGCGUUGGACGGCCGGUCGAGCGAUCGACCCCUCCGAAAGACAAUGACGGCGGCCUGUGGUUCCCCCGGUACAAUGAGCUUUUCACGGAGCACGUAUCGGACAAGGGCGCCCGGGACCCGGUCUUCUCCUCUCAGCAGGAAACUUCUCAA
rnacentral:misc_RNA from 1 species